UACAGAGGUCCCAAGCGUUGUUCGGAUUUACUGGGCGUAAAGGGUGCGUAGGUGGCUUUUCAAGUCUGAUGUGAAAUCUCGAAGCUCAACUUCGAAACUGCAUUGGAAACUGUUGAGCUAGAGUAAUGGAGGGGAGAUUGGAAUGCUCGGUGUAGCAGUGAAAUGCGUAGAUAUCGAGCGGAACACCAGUGGCGAAGGCGAAUCUCUGGACAUUAACUGACGCUGAGGCACGAAAGCCAAGGGAGCAAACGGG
rnacentral:rRNA from 1 species